AAAAUAGCUUAAGAGAGACUAGCACGAGGAAACACACAUUGCUGAGGAGUAUCUUAGAAAAGCAGAAGAAAUGGGUUCAACCGUGGUCCAGAUCUUCCAGAUCUUUCUUAUCUCUACGUCCAUCUUCUCUGCUAACGGAAGUCUGCGAUUUAAAAUUCCCAUAGACUAUACAAUUCCUAUAGAAAGCUGGACAAGUACUGAAAAACCGUUUCAAUGCAGUGAGCCAGGUUUCUUCGCCGACCCGUCGAACUGCCGACGUUUUUAUCGCUGUUUCCACUUCGGCUCUUCUUUGUCACCGGUACAUUUUGAUUGUGCUCCUGGUACGAUUUUCGACAAAAGCUUGCCCACCUGUGUCCUUCCUUCAGACUCAUCCAGACCCAAUUGCGAAGGAAAAGGACGUUUUCGUUAAAGGACUUAAGGUGUGGAUUAAGCGCAGCAAAGCACUACUGAUGGGCAAAGCCGUUCGUUUUGAGGAAACGAGGAAUCCUUUCGAGCAAUAUGAUUUAUUAAACUGGCACAAUUGAACUACGUAUAUUUUCGUUCAAUUUUUGAUAAAGCAAAAAAAGUUCAUUCUUUUUGUAUAUUUCCAAAAUUUUCUUUUGUGCCGGUUUAAAUUGGUUUGACGUAAUUUUGGCCAAAUUCGGAAAUUAUAGUUUUUUAUAUUUAAAAUAAUAUACGAUUGUGAGGUAUUAUUAUUUUUUAUUAUUCUGCAUCUUUCACACAUUUUAUCUUCUA
rnacentral:lncRNA from 1 species